rnacentral:rRNA from 1 species
AUUGAACGCUGGCGGCAGGCCUAACACAUGCAAGUCGAGCGGAUGAAGGGAGCUUGCUCCUGGAUUCAGCGGCGGACGGGUGAGUAAUGCCUAGGAAUCUGCCUGGUAGUGGGGGAUAACGUCCGGAAACGGGCGCUAAUACCGCAUACGUCCUGAGGGAGAAAGUGGGGGAUCUUCGGACCUCACGCUAACAGAUGAGCCUAGGUCGGAUUAGCUAGUUGGUGGGGUAAAGGCCUACCAAGGCGACGAUCCGUAACUGGUCUGAGAGGAUGAUCAGUCACACUGGAACUGAGACACGGUCCAGACUCCUACGGGAGGCAGCAGUGGGGAAUAUUGGACAAUGGGCGAAAGCCUGAUCCAGCCAUGCCGCGUGUGUGAAGAAGGUCUUCGGAUUGUAAAGCACUUUAAGUUGGGAGGAAGGGCAGUAAGUUAAUACCUUGCUGUUUUGACGUUACCAAAAGAAUAAGCACCGGCUAACUUCGUG